rnacentral:tRNA from 2 species
UCCUGGUUAGCUCAGUUGGUAGAGUGCUCCAUUGGAAAUGGGGAAGUCCUUAAUUCGAUACCAGGACCAGGCG